GUACGACCAGCCGCUUCGAAAAGGACCUUGUCAUUGAGCCCAAGACGAAGUUCAGGCAUUCCUGAUAAGUAGCAUUUGAGACGAACUUUUCCUAAGAUUUCACUUUGAAUGACCGUACCAUCGGCAGCAGCAAUUAAAUUAACUGAUUCAAUAACGUCCAAAAAUACUUCAUUCUUACGAUAGUGAAUUCCUUCAGAACGCCAGGAGAUAGCAUUUGUCAUAGCAAUGGGGGGUGGAGCAUGCUUUUUUACCGUAUUUGAGGUUUGAGUGAUGUAUUCUUGCAAGAUUUUUGUUUCAGUUGUUUGUGGAAAACCGAAAUCCAUGAUCUCGUCUAACAAUUCAUAAACAAGAACAAAGUUAUCUCGAAUCGACUCUUCCUGCAAUUCUUUAAAGUAAUCUAUAAAAACGUCCGCCAUUUUACGCAAAAAUACUAGCAUCUCCAUUGCAUCGGAAUUCAUUUUGGAUAAAGCAAGGAGGUAGACAUCAUUAUGGUGAAUGUAAAUGUACUGAAAAGUGUUAGUACGACCAUAAAAAAAUAAGAAUUGUUGGCUUUCAUAAUAUCUAACUUUUACAUACGUUAAUGCCUUCGUGAGUGAGACAAGGGGUGGAGAAUCCUUGUUCUUCUUCAACUUCUGAUUUUAAAGGUAAAAACUUUUCAACUACUGACAUGGGGAUAUCAGCUCUAAUUGUUUUCUGUUAGUAACCUGUCGACGAAUUGCGACAAUCUGAUUUUCAUUCAGAUUUCAAAAUUGCCUACCGGUAAUCACGGGAAAUGAUUACCUUUCCCUUUAAAUUCAGAACGAAUAUAGCAGAAGCCAUUUUUACAGAAGCCGCGAAUAAGGCAGCUAGUUUCGCUCUGGAUAACUAGCAUUGACUGUUGGCUGCCUCAUCACCGUGCCUAAGCACCGCUAGUGUAAUACAGCGUAAUUCACUAUUUCUGUUUCUUACAUAUAGUACGAAAUUCUUCUUAUAUUGAGUAAUUACUACUCUAUGCACACAUUCAGUCUUCUUUUAUAAGAUAAUCUAUUCAGAUAAUUAUAACUAAUUUACAUUAUAUGGUUUUGUAAAUGCCGAAAAGGAAAAUAAUUUUUCUGACAAUGUAAGAAAAUUUCGGUAUGUUUUAUUUGACAACUUUGGCUUAUAACAAUAAGAAUAACA